rnacentral:sRNA from 1 species
GCCAGGUGCAGUGGUGCACACCUGUAAUCCCAGCUACUUAGGAGGCUGAGGCAGGAGGAUUUCAAUCUAAGGCCAGCCUCAGCAAUUUGUGAGAACCCGCCUCAA